GAUGCUGACGAGUGGCGAACGGGUGAGUAAUACAUCGGAACGUGCCUAGUAGUGGGGGAUAACUACUCGAAAGAGUGGCUAAUACCGCAUGAGAUCUACGGAUGAAAGCAGGGGAUCGCAAGACCUUGUGCUACUAGAGCGGCCGAUGGCAGAUUAGGUAGUUGGUGGGAUAAAAGCUUACCAAGCCGACGAUCUGUAGCUGGUCUGAGAGGACGAUCAGCCACACUGGGACUGAGACACGGCCCAG
rnacentral:rRNA from 1 species